ensembl:lincRNA
AGGAACGCAAAAUCGGGCUGUCUAGUGAAAUUCACAUGCGUGGGACAGAGCAUCUACUCCCCUGAGAUCAGGGUCAUCUUUGAAAGCCACAUAUCAAACUGCACGAAAUGAACAUUUGCUGUUGUAAAAUGGAGAUACUGCACCGUCUAAGCCUAAGCCCCAGUUGCCUAUCACAGAUGUCCCGUGGCGCUCGUGUGCCUACAGGUCUCAGAGUGAGUAGCCUGGCCAUCUUCAGAUCACCAAGCCUGGAGUGGUUACCAUGGAGACCCCCAAUAUCACACAGAGAGCAGAACUUCAGUAUUUUCUUCUCUCUGAAGAACGACUCUUCUAGUCAUGUUUUUCUCUGUGCUGUAUGUAACCUUGAAGGAUGCAGAGAUGAAGGCCUUACGGAUCUUUCCAGCCUCCUUACUACCCAGUUCAGGACCUCCCUGGACCCAGAGCUUCUACAGAACCCAGAAGAUGGGUUAGGUAUGGAGUAGGAAAGCCCUCAAUGGAGGGGGAACUUGGGGAAGUUAAAGUAAUCAAUUUCCAUUUAAAUGUCAAUGUUAUUGAUUUAUGUAGGAAGUACACCUAAGAAUAAAGUAAAUAAAUAUGAAAAUUAGACAAAUUAAAAAUAACAAAUUUGAAGUCGAUUUCUAGCUUCCUAAGAACUCACUGGAACCUGAGAAAUUUCACUGGUGUUAAACAGAUAUGAGCCCCAGAGCCAAGUGGCAUGCAACUCUCUGUGGGCCUACUAUGUGCCAGCCACUUUUCUAGGCACUGGGAGGAGCACAUCAGGGUCUACAGUUGAGCUCGACUCCAACUCCUUCCUCGACAGCACCGGUGAGAAAUCUGUGGCGUCAAAGGAGAGCACAGUUAGAAAUGGAAACCAGUUUUCAUGAGAAACGGUUGAGUGAACCGCUGAGCGUUUUCACCUUUAGAAAGAGCAGUUUGAAGGAGAACAUGAUAACUGCCUCCCGAAAGCUGUGUGGAGGGGAGAGUUGUUUCCUUCUCCACUGUUCCCCGGAGCCGAGCGGAGCGGAGCGGAGCUUGCAUUAAAGGGCCAUCAGCACAAGGCGAUGGAUUUGGGCUCCCAAGAAAAAGACGACAGAAAACUCCCGCUAUUGUGUACCUACUCAGAGCAGAGGCUUCCAGGUGUCCACACUGGCUUUAUCCUAUGCAAUCCUCAUAGCGUCCCCAGGAGCUGCAAUGAUUAGCCCUAGUUUUAAGGAAGAGGAAAUGGGAGCUUGGUAAAGUUGUUUAACUGUCCACAAGGUCACACAGCUACUCAGUGGCACUCAGAGGCUGGCUCUCCGCUCCUACAGCUGAACCAUGGUGUUUCCAACACCACUGCUUUCCAAAAUGGGCACAUUUGUUGGGGUUAGAGGUGGGCACUUGCAUGAUAGACAGGUCGAUGCAGACUGGCCACCUAAAGUUGUUUUCCAGAGUUCGUCUUGAUACUCAAAGUGCUUUCUCGUUGCAAUACUGAAUGCGGAUCCCUGGACACCCAAUGUGUAGCAAACUUUUCCUGGAGAGACACUACACGCUUACUCACCCUAGGUAAGAAGCCCACGGCAGACCGAAGUACGGAUACCACCGAAUCCAAAUUGGUGAACCAGUGAGUUCUAUUGGGGUUACUUACAGGAAUAUGGGGGAGGAGUUACCUACGGGAACAGAAAUAAAUGACUCAAAGGCAGCUGCAUCACCAAAGCCGACCCCAGUAUGGAUGACGGCUCUCAAAGCUGUGAUCCUGGAGCACACUGCACAGCCUGCAGGCAGCUCAACAGGCUGGAGGGUGUCCAUUCUACGUGACUGUUCUAAAUCUCUUCCGGGAAGCUCAGUUAGUUCCGGCUUCUUCCAGGUCUGUCUUGGAGUCGUCUUUGAAGCUUGGCUUGUCUGAGAGGGGCUUUCAGCCGCUUUGGUGCUUACUCUCGGUGGGAGGGACCUUGUGAGUCCGGUCAGUUUCAGGGACUUCCUGAAGCUGUUUUGAGUUGUUUACCUUCCUACUUAAAAGCUUCCCUGCAGGUGGAGUGUUUCAAUCUUGGAGGAAACUGUUAACACAACACCCUAUAAAGAGGCAAAAAUGGCAAGAAUGAAAUCAGAAGGAAUGCAGAGGCUGAGUCAAGUGAAAUGGCUUGUAUGUAAAACGUAACCAUUCACACCAACAUCACUCGGCGAAUACCGAGAUUAGAUCUCUGCAAGUAUGGCGACAGAGUUCCAGCCUGCUAGGGCUGCUCCCAGCCCUAUCUGAGGACCCCUAUUUCAUCUUUGCAGGACAACCCUGUUCCCCAUUUUAUACUCCCACACUCCACCCUUUAAUAGAAAUGCAAGGGACUGUGUCUGUGUGCCAUGCACACUGCAGGCACUGGAGAGGCCGCAGUGAGCAAAUGACUGAAAAGUGUCCUCUUCGUGGUACUUGUUUUGGUGAUU